rnacentral:rRNA from 1 species
CAGCCCUAAACGAUGCGCGUUAGGUGUAUCGGUGACCACGAGUCACCGAGGUGCCGAAGGGAAACCGUGAAACGUGCCGCCUGGGAAGUACGGUCGCAAGGCUGAAACUUAAAGGAAUUGGCGGGGGAGCACAACAACGGGUGGAGCUUGCGGUUUAAUUGGAUUCAACGCCGGAAAUCUUACCGGGACCGACAGCAACAUGAAGGCCAAGCUGAAGACUUUGCCGGAUUAGCUGAGAGGAGGUGCAUGGC